UACGUAGGUGGCGAGCGUUGUCCGGAUUUACUGGGCGUAAAGAGCGCGCAGGCGGUCGUUCAAGUCGCGUGUGAAAGCCCCCGGCUCAACUGGGGAGGGUCACGCGAUACUGAUCGACUCGAAGGCAGGAGAGGGUAGUGGAAUUCCCGGUGUAGUGGUGAAAUGCGUAGAUAUCAAGAGGAACACCAGUGGCGAAAGCGAGUCUCUGGACAAUUCCUGACACUGAGGCACGAAAGCUAGGGGAGCAAACAGG
rnacentral:rRNA from 1 species